GCCAGCAUGGUGUAGUGGUUUGAGUGUUGGACUACAACUCUGGAGACCGAGGUUCAAAUCCUCACUCAAGCA
rnacentral:tRNA from 1 species